CGUACACUCCUACGGGAGGCAGCAGUAGAGAAUCUUCGGCAAUGGGGGCAACCCUGACCGAGCAACGCCGCGUGAGUGAAGAAGGUUUUCGGAUCGUAAAGCUCUGUUGUAAGUCAAGAACGAGUGUGAGAGUGGAAAGUUCACACUGUGACGGUAGCUUACCAGAAAGGGACGGCUAACUACGUGCCAGCAGCCGCGGUAAUACGUAGGUCCCGAGCGUUGUCCGGAUUUAUUGGGCGUAAAGCGAGCGCAGGCGGUUUGAUAAGUCUGAAGUUAAAGGCUGUGGCUCAACCAUAGUUCGCUUUGGAAACUGUCAAACUUGAGUGCAGAAGUGGAGAGUGGAAUUCCAUGUGUAGCGGUGAAAUGCGUAGAUAUAUGGAGGAACACCGGUGGCGAAAGCGGCUCUCUGGUCUGUAACUGACGCUGAGGCUCGAAAGCGUGGGGAGCGAACAGGAUUAGAUACCCUAGUAGUCCCAUGAU
rnacentral:rRNA from 1 species